AUUGAACGCUGGCGGCAGGCCUGACACAUGCAAGUCGGACGGUAGCACAGAGGAGCUUGCUCCUCGGGUGACGAGUGGCGGACGGGUGAGUAAUGUCUGGGGAUCUGCCCGAUAGAGGGGGAUAACCACUGGAAACGGUGGCUAAUACCGCAUAACGUCGCAAGACCAAAGAGGGGGACCUUCGGGCCUCUCACUACCGGAUGAACCCAGAUGGGAUUAGCUAGUAGGCGGGGUAACGGCCCACCUAGGCGACGAUCCCUAGCUGGUCUGAGAGGAUGACCAGCCACACUGGAACUGAGACACGGUCCAGACUCCUACGGGAGGCAGCAGUGGGGAAUAUUGCACAAUGGGCGCAAGCCUGAUGCAGCCAUGCCGCGUGUAUGAAGAAGGCCUUCGGGUUGUAAAGUACUUUCAGCGGGGAGGAAGGCGAUGUGGUUAAUAACCGCGUCGAUUGACGUUACCCGCAGAAGAAGCACCGGCUAACUCCGUGCCAGCCGCCGCGGUAAAAC
rnacentral:rRNA from 1 species